rnacentral:rRNA from 1 species
ACGGGAGUGGCAAGCGUUAUCCGGAAUUAUUGGGCGUAAAGCGUCCGCAGGCGGCCUUGUAAGUCUGUCGUUAAAGCGUGGAGCUUAACUCCAUUUCGGCGAUGGAAACUACAAGGCUUGAGUGUGGUAGGGGCAGAGGGAAUUCCCGGUGUAGCGGUGAAAUGCGUAGAUAUCGGGAAGAACACCAGUGGCGAAGGCGCUCUGCUGGGCCAUAACUGACGCUCAUGGACGAAAGCCAGGGGAGCGAAAGGGAUUAGAUACCCCUGUAGUCCUGGCCGUAAACGAUGAACACUAGGUGUCGGGGGAAUCGACCCCCUCGGUGUCGUAGCCAACGCGUUAAGUGUUCCGCCUGGGGAGUACGCACGCAAGUGUG